GCAAGUCGAGCGGUAACAGGAAUUAGCUUGCUAAUUUGCUGACGAGUGGCGGACGGGUGAGUAAUGCUUGGGAAUAUGCCAAAACGUGGGGGACAACAGUUGGAAACGACUGCUAAUACCGCAUAAUGUCUACGGACCAAAGUGGGGGACCUUCGGGCCUCACGCCAAAAGAUUAGCCCAAGUGGGAUUAGCUAGUUGGUAAGGUAAUGGCUUACCAAGGCAACGAUCCCUAGCUGGUUUGAGAGGAUGAUC
rnacentral:rRNA from 1 species